UACAGAGGUCUCAAGCGUUGUUCGGAUUCAUUGGGCGUAAAGGGCGCGUAGGCUGCGGGGCAAGUCGGGUGUGAAAUCUCAGAGCUCAACUCUGAAACUGCACUCGAUACUGCUUUGCUCGAGGACUGGAGAGGAGAUUGGAAUUCACGGUGUAGCAGUGAAAUGCGUAGAUAUCGUGAGGAAGACCAGUGGCGAAGGCGGGUCUCUGGACAGUUCCUGACGCUGAGGCGCGAAGGCCAGGGGAGCAAACGGG
rnacentral:rRNA from 1 species